CUACCACCAUCGUAUUUUCUUGAUCAUCUCUAACUUUUCCUGCAGAGAAUACACUUGUCUGCAUUGUUUAUUAGAAUCAGGCGCGAUUGUACUUCUUUCUG